CCAAAAAUCACGUUACCGUAUAAUUCUACCAAAUAUUUCUCCCCCAAAUCACGGUAAAAUGAACCACUCCGGCAUAGCCCAUUGUCCCUCGUUUUCAGAAUUUCCCAAAUCACGGUAGAAAUUGUUCUUAAUUUAUCCUGAAACUAGAAGCGAAAACCGCUAGAGGCGAAUUCUUGUUUUUGUACAACGGCAAGAUGGUACAGAAAUCAGAAGCAAAAAGAAAGAGAAAAUCCAAAAUCGGUCCCGACAUUAUCCAGUUAGAUGCUGGUUAUUGGUUCAGAAAUCAUAGAAGAAAACGACAUGGGCGUCCAAGUGUCGAGAUUUCUUGAAGGCUACAGAGAAGGAAGUGUAAUACAAAAACAAAUAUAAGGUCCAACCUUAGUCGGAUUCAUAAACUCGCAAUUCGGUGUUAGAAUUGCUCUCAUCUUAAUUUUCGUGGUGGUGGUAAUGGCUAUGAUCCUGUUUAUGACUAAAGGACAACCUCUGACUGUUGGCACUCGACACCAGUCCGAUGAUGUAAGGACUGAUAAGGAGGAUUGAUUGUGUAACACGCAUCGUUUCAAUUUUGCGCAUAAUUAUUUCGCUUUGUUCUUUAAUUCAGACAAGUUGAGAUAGAUUCUUGUUGUUAUUGCUAAAUUAUACGAACUUUGAUGAACAUCAAGUUCGUUUCUGUACAAAGUACUGGUAUGUAUUAUUACUUUUUACGAGGAAUCUUUGGUAUUUCC